rnacentral:sRNA from 1 species
AAACUACUUGCCACCCGGAAGUAAAUUUCAGUCGAUUCGCGGAAGGCCGGGGAAGUUCUCGGAAAAGACUUGGCAGAAGUUCAGGAAAUUAAAGCAACGCCCGGUCGGAAGAAACGGUGCAAGAGAAAACUCGAAGAAGAUGCUUUGGAGAAACAAUCUGAGUUCAUAAGAUAUAAAAAACCCUUUACUUAUAUCAAUUUCAUGUACAGAUGCAAAUAGUUGAAUUCAAAGUUUUCCAACGAUUUUUAAACAACACGACAUUUAGUUAGAAUAUUUAAGGAAUUUGUUUUAAAUGUCAGAUCCUCUGUUUUACUUAAUAAAUAAAAAAAGCAUUUUGUUGUAUCUU